rnacentral:lncRNA from 1 species
AAACCCACCAUCCAAACUAAGGCAGAAGAAACUCCCACUUGAACUCUCUCUUAAAUUUCAGCACAUGGCAAAAAGGGGAUUGGGAGUAUAAAUCAAACUCCCAUAUCAAUUCCCUCCGCUAACUCCCCACCUCUCAGAACACACUAUUGAGGUGAAUCAUCAGUCUACCAACUUUUCCUCAUCCCGACACCCACCCCAACACACACAAAAAAACCUUAUAUAAAACCAUGAAUUUUGUACAAACUACAUCAAUGCCCAGCAUAUUAACAAGAAGUUUACAACCAGGUAAACAUUCCUGAAGUUUUAAUUUGACUUUAGUAAGACAAGAAGUUAGUUAUUAAUACUCUAUGCAUCCAUAAAAAGUUCAAUUCUAGUAUAUGUAGCAUCAAGUUAAAGUAUCUUG